CUGGGGGAGAAGCAGCUGCGCAGAUGUCCCUGCUCUUCUGCCCGUGGCUCUGCCCCUGUGCAUGGAGGGCGUCACCGUGACGGCCAGUUUGCUGCCAACUCAGGCCCCGGGCAUGAGGCCAUCCCACUGGAUAACUGUAUUUCUUCAUCUCUCCCUUCAGCAAACGGAGGGACAUGGAUUCUAGAACUUCACCCCUUUAAUCAACAAGUUCUUCCAAGUCUCAGGGGUUUGUCCUUCAGGUAUGAUUUUAUUCAUUCAUUCAUGCACUCACUCACUCAUUCAUUCAUUCCACAGAUGUUUAUGAAGUGUCCGCUGAGUGUCUGACCCGUUCUGAGCACUGGGAACAAAGCCGUGAACAAAACGGGAAGAUCCCUCCCUGCGAGAUCCGUGCAUCCUAACACACAGGGACGAACGCUGACGUCAGCUGGUAACAGGGAUGGUGUCAGUGCUGGUCGGUGCUUUGGCGAGAAGUAAAGCAGGGAGGUACCUGGUCUGAUUACCAAGCAGCCAAGGAGGCCUCGGGGUGUCUUGGAGGCUGGAACCGUCAGCCCGGGGUGAGCUACGAGCGCUUUACAUGAGCUGCUCCCAGGUGAGGGGUGGGGGGUCAGGCCACCCCCAGCCCCCCUGCCGGCUCCACCCAGGUGAGCCCUGUGUGUGUGGAGAGGCGGUUCUGGAGGAUUCCACGCUCAGGCCGCCCGUGUCCCCGCUUUCUGCUCUUCCCAGCGCCCAUCAGGUCAGAUGUUACCACGGUGACUGCCGGCUCUUGUUUCUCUUCUGUGAGCCUCCCUGGAGCGCCGGCUCCCCCAGGACGGGAGCCCGUUCCCCGAUGCACCCCAGCUCGAGCCCAGCGCGGGGCACGAGGAAAUCCUUGGACUUGAAGCCUUGCCUCAGGGUCGGCUUCUGGAGAAACCAAAACAGAGACAGAGGAUGGAGGGCUUUCUUCUGGUCUGUGUUUACAUUCUGUGCAUGCGAUGCGUGUAUGUAUGUAUGUAGGUAUUUUCCCUGAGUUGGGGUGGAUUUGCAAGACCGAAAAAUGGGUACAAACCGGUGUCGAGGGUUUUAUAUGGCAGGCAGCAAGGAUGUGGUUCUCCUCCCAUCAUCCAUAAUGGGGCGGGGGAGGGGGAUUGCAGGACAAAGAA